rnacentral:lncRNA from 1 species
GGACAACAAUGUAAUUCAGUAUACACUAAAUCCGAUCAAAAUUAUGAUCAUGACAUUACUUCGCCAUUGUGAUCCCUACAAUAAGUCGAAAUCCACUCUACAGGAGAAAAUUUCGUACCAUUCACAGGGAGUGGUUCACCAACAAUAGAUAACGGUCAUAUUCAGUCACCUCUCAGUGAUAACUAUCAAACUUAUUUUGAUUUUUAUUUGUUAUUUAAAUUGAAUAUGAAUUUCAAUUUAAUUUUAAUCUAUAAAUUUAUGUUU